UUUCGUCAAUUGCCAGCAGAACGGCGUCGGACUGAUCUUUUAACCUAUCUCUCUGGCAUCCCCGACGUCCCUCCAUCAUUCUUCUCUUGAUAUGAAAUAAACAAGGUGGAAUGAGUUUGGAUCAUCUCCCAUUUAUUAAGAAGAACCAAGGACGUACGACGUGGAUUUGCAUUUUUCUUUUCAUCUUUCUAAUAUCUUCGGGUCAUAGUGGGAACGAUUGAUGAAGAUACGACAGGAGGAGCCUAGAGAUGACAAAAUCUUUAGCAUUUCAUUUGAUUUAUAUCUAAUGUCUUCAAAUUUUCCUUUGAGCUUCAACUUGUGAAUUACAAAUUCACAAUUAGUCUGGUCCUGCUACAAAUAAAGAGCUUUUUUCAGAGAAAAAUAUAUAGUAUUGAUACUAUUCAAGCUCAGAUCAGUGAGGGUGAUGUGUCUCUUGACUUGCAGAACCACGAGCCCAAGGAAGCUAUACGUCUUCUAAGAUCUCAGUUAACCUAUCUUUCUAGCAUCCCAGCUUUCAAGUAUCUCUGGGUCAUAGUGGGAUCGAAUGAUGAAGAUACAACAGGAGGGGCCCGGAGACGACUGAUUGUGAAGCAACUGGAGAAGGAAUCGAUCAAAUGGACCGAGGAGGAGAACGGGAGGACAAUAUCGAUCCGAGUGGAUGAAAUUGACCCGAAAAGCUUGAGCUUCUCAAAAAAAUGAGUGAAAGAAACAAGAGCCCAAUUUGAGCAGAGCAGAAGUGGAACUUAAAGAAGAGGCCAUGCCAUGGUAAAUGCUGGUUUUGUUAGGGAUGCUGUCCAUUUGGGGUUUGAGAUGAACCUUUCUUUUGUGGGAAAUUUAUGUUACAAGAUUUUAGAGAGAUGAAAUUCAAGCAACACAUCCGCUAUUUACGUAUAGAAAAAGAAGGGUGUUUUAAUUUGAACCUAAAAAAUUCUUGAGUAAUUUUUUUCAACAAUCUAAACUGUCUAAAAUUUAGUACAUCUUUCAUAGAUUAUCAUUGCGAAAAAAAAAAAAUAGAAAAAUCCAAAACCGUUCAUGUUGAGAAUAAAUUUCACAUUUAUGGGAGGAGGGAUCUUACAUAGACUUACAAGAAGUUAGGCUACUCUUUGUAUUGUCAAUUGGUUAUGAUGAAACCCCAACUUUUUUUAUGGUAUCAAAGCAGGUUAUUUCAUGUGUGAAGUCUAAUGGUCACACAUGCUCCAUGUCACCCAAUUUGGGUUGCCUAUGCGUAGACUUGAAAUUCUUUACUUGUGAGAGGAUGUGUUGAGAAUUAGUUCCACACUAAUGGAAUGAAGGAUGGUACUAAAUACAGAACUAUAGAUGUGAAUCAUGUGAUUCGUAAACAACAUUACAUUUUCAAAUUAAACAAGUAUGAUAAAUCGUUUGUUUCUUUUAACCCAGGAAGGAGGGAAAGAACAAUCGAACUAGCAUAUCAAGCAUAAAGUGUCAUAUCCUAGUUCGAUUAUCUUUCCCAAUUUUUAAUGUAAAAAUGUUCCCAAUUUUUUUUUAUGUAAAAUGUUCUUCUUUUUUUAAAGUAAAAUUUAUUCACCUGCUUUAUCUAUAAUGUACUCAUAUUUAAAAAUAAAAAUAAAACAUGUUGUUUAAACUCAACUUUGAGGGGUGCUUCAGUUUGGAAAGCUUUGUGGAAGGCUAAUAUCCCAGGCAAAAUUCUUUUGUGCGUUUGGAGGGCGUGCAGAGACAUUUUGCCCACUUGUGCUAAUUUGGUAACCAAGGGUGUUAGUUAUGGUGGAUAAUCUAUGUUUAUUUUGUAGUUCCUCUUUGGAGUCGGCGCUAGAUGUUUUCACUGUUUGUCCAUUUGCUCGUGCGGUGUAUGAUGCCUCUCAUCUAAAUUUCAGAUUCAGUCUUCCGCCGUCUGCUUCUUUCUGUGACUGGUUAUCACUUUGUGUGGAUCAGAUGUCUGAGGUUAUUAAGGCUAGGCCUGGUCCUGUUUCCCGUCCCCUGGAGGCAAUGUCACGCUGGAGUCCCCCUCCGGCUGGAUGGAUAAAAAUAAAUGUUGAUGGUUCUUUCCUUUCUGGGGUCAAUGUGGGCGGUGUUGGAGGUGUAUUUCGUGACAAAGCUGGUAGCUAUGCUGGAGGUUUGUUCGCCAAAUACCCUCUGCAUCGUGCUCCACCAUGGUUGAGUUUCUGGCAGUCCGUGAGGGAAUUCGCUGGGCUGUGGAAAGGAAGCUGGAGCGUAUCAUUGUAGAAUGUGACUCGUUGCAGGUGGUUCAAGCUGUUGGUAACAAUUUCCAGGGGUCUGCUCCUAUGGACCUUCUGGCGGAGAAUAGUUUGCGAGCCUUUGUGGAUUCACAAGUUUGCUUUGUGCGCCGCUCUACGAAUGCUGCGGCACAUGGUGAUGGUUUGAGUGCAGAGAAGACGAUGUGUCUCUUGACUUGCAUAACCACGAGCCCAAGCAAGCUAUACGUCUUCUACGAUCUCAGUUAACCUAAUCUCUUUGGCAUCCCCGACGUCCCUCCAUCAUUCUUCUCAUGGUAUGAAAUAAACAAGGUGGCAUUACUUUGGAUCAUCUCCCAUUUAUUAAUAAGAAGAACCAGGGACGUACGACGUCGAUUUGCAUUUUUCUUUUCAUCUUUCUAGUAUCUUCGGAUCAUAGUGGGAACGAUUGAUGAAGAUACGACAGGAGGAGCCCAGAGACGACAAAAUCUUCAGCAUUUCAUUUUGAUUUAUAUCUAAUGUCUUCAAAUUUUCCUUUGAGCUUCAACUUGUGAA